rnacentral:rRNA from 1 species
UACGAAGGGGGCGAGCGUUGUUCGGAAUCACUGGGCGUAAAGCGCACGCAGGCGGAUCGAUAAGUCGGGGGUGAAAGCCCGGGGCUCAACCUCGGAAUUGCCUUCGAUACUGUCGGUCUCGAGUCCGGGAGAGGUGAGUGGAAGUCCUAGUGUAGAGGUGAAAUUCGUAGAUAUUAGGAAGAACACAAGUGGCGAAGGCGGCUCACUGGCCCGGUACUGACGCUGAGGCACGAAAGCGUGGGGAUCAAACAGG